rnacentral:rRNA from 1 species
UUAAGCAGAGGAAAAGAAACCAAAAGGGAUUCCCUUAGUAACGGCGAGUGAAAAGGGAAAAGCUCAUCGCAAAGGUUUAUCAUUUUAUAUAUUGAUAAACGGUGCUGCGUUAUUAUUGAAAUAUAUAAUAGCUAAUUCUAGAAGUAUAAAUCCCUCUGACCGGGGUUAAAUAUCCAUAGAUGGUGCUAGGCCAUUAAUACUUUCUAGCAAUUAUUGCUAUUUGUUUCAAUAAAAAAGAGUCAGAUUGCUUGAGAGUGCAAUCUUAAUUUGAAGGUAAACUCCUUCAAAAGCUAAAUAUGCUGACAAUACCGAUAGCAAACAAGUACCGUGAGGGAAAGUUGCAAAGAACUUUGAAGAGAGAGUUCAAAAGGAAGUGAAACCACUUGUAGGAAAACGAGUAGAACCACGAAGUGUAGCAAAGAGGAGAAUUCAACUUCUCUAUAUAAUGAUAAUAUCUUCAUUUGUUCAUUAAGACGAUUAUUAUUAUUAUUAUUGUAGUAAUAAAAUCUUUAAUCUUGAUGGUAAUGUAAGAUAUUAUAUUGAUAUCAUUAUAAGAGUAGUGCAUUUUCUCAUCUCUUGAGCUCGAGCCUUGACCAAUAGGAAGAAAAUAAUGUUUUUGCAUUAUUUUCUGUUGAUAGAUUAUCAUAGUAUAAUAUAGUAUGACUAUUUUGACAUACUAUUAUUGCUUCAUUGCUAACCCAAUGAUAGUGAUAUAUAUUAAUAUAUGAAAAGAUAGCCUCUGUGUAAGAUAUUACAUUUAUGGUGUAAAUUUCAUAUAUUGAUAACUAUGAUAAUGUACCUAUUGGGAUAAAUAAAAUGCUAUAUUAUAUACAAAUUAUAUAAUAAUAGUAUACAAUAAUAGUAACCCUUUUAUGGAUGAUAUUUUUAAUUGGACAAUUGUGAUCAAUUUUACCUCAUUAAUCUAAAAAUUACAUGAGAAUUAAAAUUGCAUCAAUUGUAAAAUUUUCCAUUUAUAAAAGUUUUAUCCCAUUAAAGGGGAAAGCAGUAAAAAAAUYUUUUUUURCUGUGACUAUUAUCUAAGGCUAGUAGGUCGGUAUCUACUCGACCNNNNNNNNNNNNNNNNCCAAGGAGUCUAACAUGUACGCAAGUUAAAAAGCUUUGUAUAUGCUUAAUAAGCAAAAUGAAAGUAAAAAGUAUGAACUUGAUUCAAGUAAUAUAAUUUAGAAAUAAUAKAGUUUAUCAUAUGAUAAGCCUUAUUAUAUUAUAAUAUUAUUUUACUUGAACARAUUCAAUACUGGCCCGURAURUCUGAAUAAUAUACAUUUAUAUUAUAGCARAAYAACGGAGCUUGAGCGUAUACGUUGGUACCCGAAAGAUGGUGAACUAUGCCUGGGCCAGAUGAAGCCAGAGGAAACUCUGGUGGAAGUCUUUAGCGAAUCUGACGUGCAAAUCGAUCGUCASACCUGGGUAUAGGGGCGAAAGACUAAUCGAACCAUCUAGUAGCUGGUUUCCUCUGAAGUUUCCCUCAGGAUAGCUGGCAUKAUAUGAUAACUAAAUGGUUAUUAAAGCAGUAGCAUCCGGUAGAGCGAAUGAUUAGAUGUACUGGGAUCGAAAAGAUCUCAACAUAUUCUCAAACUUCUAAUGGAUGCAAAGACUUAACUUAUCAAUGUUAAAGUUGGUUGAUAUAUAUAUGGUUUUCAUUUUUGAUACCAUAUAGACAAUUGUAAUAUGCUAAUAGUGCCAAGUGGGCCAUUUUUGGUAAGCAGAACUGGCGAUGUGGGAUGAACCAAACGUUGGGUUAAGGUGCCCGAUGAUGACGCUAAUUAGAUCCCAUGAAAGGUGUUGGUUGCUAAAGACAGCAGGGCGGUGGCCAUGGAAGUCGGAAUCCGCUAAGGAGUGUGUCACAACUCACCUGCCGAAGCAACUAGCCCUGAAAAUGGAUGGCUCUUAAGCGUUUAACCUAUACCUAACCAUAAUGGUAAAAUUUUUAUUAUUAUUAUUAUAAUAAUAAAAAAUAUUAGAGAAACCAUUAUGAGUAAGAGGAACGCAAUGAUAGCGUUGAAGGGAUCAGAUUUAAUUCUGCCUGGAGCUUUCAUUGUUGCAGAUCUUGGUGGUAGUAGCAAAUACUCAAGUGAGAUCCUUGAGGACCGAAGUGGAGAAGGGUUCCAUGUGAACAGCAUUUGAACAUGGGUCAGUCGAUCCUAAGAGAUGCGGAGAAAUCCGUACCAAAGUCCCAGAAUUGUAUAAUUGUAUACAAAAUAAUCUAUUUUAUACAAUAGAUGACGCACGCUAUUGUAUUUAUUAUAUAUUAUAAUCUAAUCUGUUGACUGAGGUAUAUCUCGAAAGGGAAUUGGGUUAAUAUUCCCAAACCUAGACAGGGAAAUAAUUUCACAUUAUAUYAUAAUGUGAGAUAAAUGCGGUAACGCAAACUUACUCAGAGAUGCCGYCAUAAGCCCUGGGAAGAGUUAUCUUUUCUUUGUAAGGAUCCAAGUCCCUGGAAUCGGUUCAACCGGAGAUAGGGAUGUCGGAGACGUAAAGC